GGGCCCGGGGAUAGGAGGACCAGCAGGGACUUGGUUUUCCUGAAGCCCGCUACCCAUUCCCUACA
ensembl:miRNA